AAAGUCGAAAAAGGAAACAACAACAUGAAAAGCAUAAGUUACAAAGUGUGUUAGCAAACAACAACAUGAAAAACAGAUUUGGAAGUCAUUGCCAAGCCUUCAAUCAUGAGAGUAAAGGGGAAUCAGGCCUAUCUUUAAUGUUAUUAAGACACUUAUGCACGAAAGACUCGACGCCAGUGCACUGAUUCUUGAAUAGUAGAGUCCAUGUUCUCCCUAGCGAGACCUUUAAACCUUGUUUUGAAGGCACAAAACCAUAAAUGACAUUAAUCAUUAGGGAAACAGAGGCGAUGUUUGAAGCCAAGAUGACAACAGAGGAAUCAAGCCAAUGCAAAGAGAUACUAGCCACCUAUUAGUGUGUGGAUUCUAGGAACAUAAAAAAUUGUACCCUCCCCGACAAGGCUACCAAACCCUGAAACACAUGCCACAAAGGAAAAACUGAG
rnacentral:lncRNA from 1 species